rnacentral:tRNA from 1 species
ACAGAGUUGGCAGAAUAAAUGUGAAUAAUUUAGGUUUAUUUUAUAAGAUAUUUUUAUAUCUUACUUUGUA